UGGAUGCCUCGACUCCAUACUUCGACGAAGGACGUGGCCAGCUGCGAUAAGCCUCGGUGAGCCGCUAGGCAGGCGUUAUUAACCGGGGAUGUCCGAAUGGGGAAACCCCUCGGGAGUUAUGUCCCGAGACCUGGCCUCACUUGUGGUUUUGAUUGAGCGGAGAAGUACAAAGUAUUCCGUACUUCCUGCCCGGAGGGAUAAGGAUUGCACCGCCCUCCCCCGAAACCGGAAGUGAGGCCAGGAGAUCACUCUGUGAACUGAAACAUCUCAGUAGCAGAGGAAGAGAAAUCAACAUGAGAUUCCCCGAGUAGUGGCGAGCGAAAGGGGAACAGCCCAAACUCCACUCUUUUCGUGUGGAGGGUUGUAGGAGCCCAAUAUCCGAUUGUGUCACUUCUAGGCAAACGACCCUGGAACGGGCGGCCAAAGAGGGUGAGAGCCCCGUCGCCGAAAGGGUGAUACACGGUAGGGAUUUCCUGAGUAAGGUCGGACACGUGUAAUCCGGCCUGAAUCUGGGUGGACCACCAUCCAAGGCUAAAUAGGUAUGGAGAUCUAUAGCGGAUAGUACCGUGAGGGAAAGGUGAAAAGCACCCCGGAAGGGGGAUGAAAUAGUCUCUGAAAUGUGAUGCGUUCAAGGAGUCGGAGCCCCGCAUCUGCGGGGUGACGGCGUGCCUUUUGCAUAAUGAGCCAACGAGUUAGUCGUCUGUGGUCGGCUAAGGCAGAUACAGCCGGAGCCGGAGCGAAAGCGAGUCCGAAUAGGGCGUAUAUGAUCGCAGGCGCUAGACCCGAAACCGGGUGAGCUACCCAUGGGCAGGGUGAAGGGCGCCGGAAGGCGUCUGGAGGCCCGAACCAACCAGUGUCGCAAGACUGGGGGAUGACCUGUGGGUAGGGGCGAAAAACCUACCGAACCCGGAGAUAGCUGGUUCUCUUCGAAAUGCCUUUAGGGGCAGCCUCGUCGUGCACGGCAGGGGGUAGAGCUACGGUUUGGAUGCGGGGGUCUUCUCGACCCACCAAAUCCUGACAAACUCCGAAUACCUGCCCUUUGACGACGGGAGUGAGACGGUGACGGCUAAGCGCCAUCGUCGAGAGGGAAAGAGCCCAGAUCAUUCGCUAAGGUCCCAAAUCACCGUUCAGUGGAAAAGGUAGUUCAUGUGCAUGGACAACCAGGAGGUUGGCUUAGAAGCAGCCAUCCUUUAAAGAAAGCGUAACAGCUCACUGGUCGAUUGCAUGUGUGCGCCGAAAAUGUAACGGGGCAAAACGGUGAACCGAAGCGGUGAGUGCGGGGUGUCACUUGUGGAUUCUGUUGAAGUGGAUGUUGUUGCACUGGAGUGGAGAAGAAUUAUGAAUAAUGAAUAAAGAAUUAUGGACGAAUGAUGCUUAUAUUCCCGUCAUUCCUCAUUCUUAAUUCCUCAUUCUUAAUUCUCCAUCCCUUCAAGAAGAGCAGCUCCCAUCCAUCCCCGAAUCCAGAAGCGACAUCCCGCGCAGUAGAAGAGCGUUCCAUUCAGCAGUGAAGCCCGGCCGCGAGGCAGGGUGGAGCGGAUGGAAGCGAGAAUGUUGGCAUGAGUAACUACUAGGCAGGUGAAAAACCUGCCCGCCGAAUCCCCAAGGUUUCCCACGCAACGGUAAUCGGCGUGGGGUUAGUCGGUCCUAAGGUCAGGCCGAAAGGCGUAGCCGAUGGAGAACAGGUCAAUAUUCCUGUACCUCUUGAAGAUCGUCCAGGGGUGCCAGUUGAUAGUUUCGCCGGCCUCUGCUGUGCACCAUUGUGGACUUCAAUUUGGAGUCUAGAAUGGUGCACGGUAUGUCUGCGGAAAAGGAUACUGUCAUUCCAGGAGCGGUGUGACGGAGCGGGAAGUCCAGAGCGUGUGUAUUGACUGCAUGUGGAACGUCGAAAGCGUUGAUCCCGGGAGGCAAAUCCCUCGGGAGAGCUGACGGCAUAUCCCAAUUACUCCGCAUUCGCGGAGCGAGUCUGACACUUUCUGCUUCCAAGAAAACCAUCGCUCAUAGAGCUUCAGGAGACCGUACCGUAAACCAACACCGGUGGGGUGGUCGAGUAGACCAAGGCGAACGGGUCAUCUCGCGUUAAGGAACUCGGCAAAAUAGCGUCCGUAACUUCGGGAUAAGGGCUGACCCCGCAUCUGCGGGGCCCGCAGCAAAAGAGCCCAGGCGACUGUUUACCAAAAACACAGGUCCCUGCUAAGUUGUAAGACUAUGUAUAGGGGCUGAUGCCUGCCCAGUGUCAGAAGGUCACGUGAAGGGGUGUAUGCCCCUGAUCUAAGCCCUGAUGAACGGCGGCCGUAACUAUAACGGUCCUAAGGUAGCGAAAUUCCUUGUCGGGUGGUCGAUAAGCACUUGCCCGAAUCACGCGUAAGCGUGAGCACUAGGGAAUCUCGUGAAUGGCAUACAUAGUGCAAAACGUGGCUGUAUGCUGGAAAAUCCGAGUAUGGAGCACUACUUGACGAAUUGAGUUGUCAAUGUAAAAAUGUGUCUCCUGCGGACAAUCAGCAGGAAACUUCUUUCCUUUCCAAUAAUAUGGCAUUUACGGAAAAUGAUGCAGCGAGACUUCGAGAGCUUUAUGUCCUCGAUAAAGGUCUUACUGCCAUCUCAGGAAGAGUAGGUUUUGAUCCUCAUGCAGAAAUACUUGUGGAGGAAAUGAACCAACUCUCACAGAGAUUACGGGCCGCCAAUUAUGAAAUUGUGACGGCAAGAGGUUGAUGGUUCCUCAGAGACUACACGCCACGCUCCGGCUCCGUCCGCUCCGCGAACUGCGCCGUGAUGAUGAUAUAGUCCGAUCCCCAUGGCGACAUGGGGGGUUACAAAAUCGAGUAACUGAUAAAAAACAAUCGGGAACAAACUCUUUGCUAAUCAGAUAAUGCGCGAAGAGUGGCUUUGCCGCUCUGGAGCGCCACCACUGAAAGGGAAAGGGGUUCCGCAGGGGAAAACCGUAGGUUUUCCCAUGCGAAAUGUGAAGUUCCGACCCGCACGAAUGGUACAACGGUCUGGGCACUGUCUCGACGCGAGGCCCGGUGAAAUUGCAGUGCCGGUACAAAUGCCGGCUUGAUCACGGAAGGACGAAAAGACCCUAUGAAGCUUUACUAUAGGCUGGCAUUGUGUUGCUGGUCUGUGUAUGCAGGAUAGGUGGGAGGCUUUGAAGCCCGGGCGCUAGCCCGGGUGGAGCCAACCUUGAGAUACCACCUCCACAUUCUGACAACACUCACUCGGUUUGCGUAACCGCGGACCGAGGACCGUGCUUGCUGGGUAGUUUAACUGGGGCGGUUGCCUCCUAAAGCGUAACGGAGGCGCGCAAUGGUCCACUAGCGCCGGAUGGAAAUCGGCGUCGUCGUGUAAUCGCACACGUGGGCCUGACUGUGAGGCUUACAAGCCGAGCAGGGACGAAAGUCGGUGAUAGUGAUCCGGCACCUUGAGUCGUUUUACGAUGACUCUUUCCACGUGGGUGGGGUGUCGCUCAACGGAUAAAAGUUACUCUAGGGAUAACAGGCUGAUCGCUCCCAAGCGCCCACAGCGACGGAGCGGUUUG
rnacentral:rRNA from 1 species